AUGAUCAUAGUAUUCUGCUUCCUUCAGCCUUAAAGUUGCAAGAAAGUGUUUCAUCUUCAGGCAUGAAGGAGCAAAAACAAAUCUUCUGUCAUUGAGGUCAGUGAAACUAUGCUUGUUUCUAUCUCCAAGACUGAAUGAAAUCCUGAUUCUUUGAUGACAAUGAAAUUUUGCUACCAAGUAAAAUGAUUCUGUCAUUUCACUGUCUUAUUUCCAUAUUAGUGUUUUGCUAGGAAAAGUAAAGUCUCUUACCUUUCUGCUGUUCUUGAAAAUAGUACUUUUCACAAUAUAUUUCCAGAGAUCUCUGAACUGAUAUUUGCCAUUAACUUUGUGUUUAGUUUUCUAGCAUUAUGCAUAAAUAAUCAAGUUUACCUUAUUCAGGGUAAUUUAACUUACCAUUCAAUCCUGUGUUUUUAGGGAAGGACAAUCUGCCUCUUUUAUUCAUGCAUAUAGUGUGACCCUCUCUUUGAGGCAUUACAGACUCUGCCUUAUUGGCCAGAUUUUUCUCCUGUUUAAUAUACUGAAGAGACCAUCCAAUCCCUCUCCUUCAAAACAUUUCUAGAUGGUGAUUUAGAAAGGCAUUCUAGCUUGUUAACUUUUAACCAGCAAAUGUACCUAUCCAUUACAAUUACUGGGUUUAUGGCAUUGCGAAAUUUCUAGGGGGGCCUGAAAAUACUUUUGUUAUCUCCAUUUCCCUCCUAGCUAUGCCUGAUUCUGAACAGAUCAUAUUCUCUCUAUCUUUCAGUUCUGCAUAUAUAGUCAUGCAGAUAACAAGAGUUCAGGACAGGAUCUGAUCAGUGCAUUUUAUGCAGAAGAUUCAGUGAAAUCGGUAGGAUCAUUCUUUGGGGGGCGUCCUCUUGUCCUAUAGGAGGUUUCAAACCAUUUACUCCUGACCCUAUUUAAAGUUUUACUCUUUAUAUUUAAGCAGUCUUUGAAAAAUGAUGUUCUCUGUAUUGUUUCUGGGAAGGCUGACUUCUUAGUCUUUUUGGGAUGAAGAAAAGAGCAGGCAGGAAAUGAUGAAACUUUGUAAUUAGAAGGGAAUUAGAUAAUUGCUUCCAGCAAUAGAUUAGCUCAAUAACAAAAAUAAUAAGACAAUAUUGGGGUUAUUUGGAUAUGUUUGCAGUGUCUUCUGUGUAGUUUAGAGAUAACUGAACUAUAUUUAACCCAGAUAACUUAAGUAUCUUCAGCACUCUAACCUGACAGCCUAGAGCUCAGCUGUGCUGAUUAGAUGUACAUAAAAAGAAUGGCAGUGUCAGGUCUCUGCAGUGGAUGAUCCUAUUCAGCAAUAACAGAUCACAUGAAUCAUUGUACUGAUAUCUACCUUGGAUUUUAUGGCUAAAUUAACUAGGAUAAAUGCAAUAUACUGAAUCUCUGAGAGUCUGGAAUUUUUUCUUAUGUAUAAUCUGAAGCAGUUGAAAGCCCUUACAUUCACAAAAUUAUUUAUGUUUUAUAAUUUAAAUGGAUCAAUGUAGAUUAAUAUUGGCUGUUCCUCUCUUGUAUUUUUCAGACAAGAGAUUCAUGUCCUUCUCUGUACAAUUGAGUAUUUUAUGUUCCAAAUGUCACUUGAGGUCUGCUGUUCCACUGUCUGCCUCUGCCUAGUAUAUAGGGCAAAAGGAAUAACACGUAUUUUUCAAAAUACAUGAAAAAGAAAACAACUUCUGUAACUGAUCUCCUUGUCUUAGCUCCUCAUUGCAAACAGAUCUGUUUAGCAAAAGUGACAGCGCCUACAAUUCUAAUGCCAGCCUUCUUAAAAACGGAAUUGAAUUUCUGUCAAGUACUGUCACACUUGCUAAACAGCUGUGUGUGUGAGGGUGACCUUGAACACCCAGAUUUGAGUCUCUGCUUUUGCUCUUUCAGUUCUGCUUUGAUAGGAUCUCCCAUGACCAGUUCAUCAGUGACAGUCCAGAUCAUACACUGUGUACAACUGCAGGAGCACAAACAGAAGAACCAGCUGUGGAGAGUGCUGGUGUGUACAGCUCUGGGCCCCAUCCCUCCUUGGGGGCUUGGUAAGAAUGGGUAAGCAGCAUGAAUUUGUCUGCUUUGGCCUUGCCAGACUGGUGGAAUUCCUGCUGGCAGCUGGUAACCAGACAGUUCCAUUUUAAAGUGAAUCAUCUUCUGUAACCAAGUGGAAUAAAAACAUGGACACACACCUACUGCAGACAUCUCCUCUAAGCCACAGCUAUUUGUUGUCCUCCACUUUUGUAUCUUCAGUGUACAAGUAUAGACACUGAGUUUCAGAAAAAUAUGUUGGAUGAGGAGGGUAGGGGGCUACCACUUAAACACUCACCAUUCAUGAGCCUGUCUUUUUCUUCAGCCUGUCAUGAGACACAGUAGACAUCAGAUCCUCCUCUGAAGAGCCAGGUUUCAUCUGAUCCUUAACAUACUGGCCAUGAAAUUUCAGUUGUUGCAAACAACAUUUUGUCAGACUGGGCAUAAGUCUACAGAUUGUGAUCUGGCAAUACUUUCUAUGGUCUUCACAUGCAGAAACCUGACAGUGGGAGAAUUGCAAGGCUGGGACAUCAAAAGUGCCAAAGGACAAAGACAUUUUUAUUCUAAGGUUAGAACUUGAGGUUUGCUGGCUCUUGCUAACACCUAUUUAACAAACGUGCCUCAGAGGAAACUCUUUUUGUUAACAAUUCAACCUCU